GAUGAACGCUGGCGGCGUGCCUAAUACAUGCAAGUCGAGCGAACAGACGAGGAGCUUGCUCCUCUGACGUUAGCGGCGGACGGGUGAGUAACACGUGGAUAACCUACCUAUAAGACUGGGAUAACUUCGGGAAACCGGAGCUAAUACCGGAUAAUAUAUUGAACCGCAUGGUUCAAUAGUGAAAGACGGUUUUGCUGUCACUUAUAGAUGGAUCCGCGCCGCAUUAGCUAGUUGGUAAGGUAACGGCUUACCAAGGCAACGAUGCGUAGCCGACCUGAGAGGGUGAUCGACCACACUGGAACUGAGACACGGUCCAGACUCCUACGGGAGGCAGCAGUAGGGAAUCUUCCGCAAUGGGCGAAAGCCUGACGGAGCAACGCCGCGUGAGUGAUGAAGGUCUUCGGAUCGUAAAACUCUGUUAUUAGGGAAGAACAAAUGUGUAAGUAACUAUGCACGUCUUGACGGUACCUAAUCAGAAAGCCACGGCUAACUACGUG
rnacentral:rRNA from 1 species